AACGAACGCUGGCGGCAUGCCUAACACAUGCAAGUCGAACGAUGCUUUCGGGCAUAGUGGCGCACGGGUGCGUAACGCGUGGGAAUCUGCCCUUGGGUUCGGAAUAACAGUGAGAAAUUGCUGCUAAUACCGGAUGAUGUCUUCGGACCAAAGAUUUAUCGCCCUGGGAUGAGCCCGCGUAGGAUUAGCUAGUUGGUGGGGUAAUGGCCUACCAAGGCGACGAUCCUUAGCUGGUCUGAGAGGAUGAUCAGCCACACUGGGACUGAGACACGGCCCAGACUCCUACGGGAGGGAGCAGUGGGGAAUAUUGGACAAUGGGCGCAAGCCUGAUCCAGCAAUGCCGCGUGAGUGAUGAAGGCCUUAGGGUUGUAAAGCUCUUUUACCCGGGAUGAUAAUGACAGUACCGGGAGAAUAAGCGCCGGCUAACUCCGUG
rnacentral:rRNA from 1 species